GAUGAACUUUGGCGGCGUGCUUAACACAUGCAAGUCGAACGAAGCACUCUACUUGAUCUCUUCGGAGUGAUUGUUUUGUGACUGAGUGGCGGACGGGUGAGUAACGCGUGGGUAACCUGCCUCAUACGGGGGGAUAACAGUUGGAAACGACUGCUAAUACCGCAUAAGCGCACAGGGUCGCAUGACCUGGUGUGAAAAACUCCGGUGGUAUGAGAUGGACCCGCGUCUGAUUAGCCAGUUGGUGGGGUAACGGCCUACCAAAGCGACGAUCAGUAGCCGACCUGAGAGGGUGACCGGCCACAUUGGGACUGAGACACGGCCCAAACUCCUACGGGAGGCAGCAGUGGGGAAUAUUGCACAAUGGGGGAAACCCUGAUGCAGCGACGCCGCGUGAGCGAAGAAGUAUUUCGGUAUGUAAAGCUCUAUCAGCAGGGAAGAAGAAAUGACGGUACCUGACUAAGAAGCACCGGCUAAAUACGUGCCAGCAGCCGCGGUAAUACGUAUGGUGCAAGCGUUAUCCGGAUUUACUGGGUGUAAAGGGAGCGCAGGCGGUACGGCAAGUCUGAUGUGAAAGCCCGGGGCUCAACCCCGGUACUGCAUUGGAAACUGUCGGACUAGAGUGUCGGAGGGGUAAGUGGAAUUCCUAGUGUAGCGGUGAAAUGCGUAGAUAUUAGGAGGAACACCAGUGGCGAAGGCGGCUUACUGGACGAUUACUGACGCUGAGGCUCGAAAGCGUGGGGAGCAAACAAG
rnacentral:rRNA from 1 species